UACGAAGGGGCUAGCGUUGCUCGGAAUCACUGGGCGUAAAGGGCGCGUAGGCGGCCAUUCAAGUCAGAGGUGAAAGCCCAAGGCUCAACCUUGGAAUUGCCUUUGAUACUGUUGGCUUGAGACCGGAAGAGGUUAGUGGAACUGCGAGUGUAGAGGUGAAAUUCGUAGAUAUUCGGAAGAACACCAGUGGCGAAGGCGGCUCACUGGCCCGGUACUGACGCUGAGGUGCGAAAGCGUGGGAGCGAACGAGG
rnacentral:rRNA from 1 species